rfam:Pyronema omphalodes CBS 100304, CBS100304, WGS project CATG01000000 data, contig: Pcon_v1_contig362
GCUGAUAUGGCCGAGUGGUUAAGGCGAUGGUCUUAAGUUCUUAAGUCAUCCAUUGUCGCAAGACUCAGGAGUUCGAACCUCCUUGUCAGCA